GUUGAAGUCCAAAACCCCUGGAAGGAAGGCCCAACUUUGCCCAUAUCUCCUGUAAGAGAUGCCCAACCUGAGAGGCCUGAGGCCUAGCAACCCUUCUGAGAGUGGAGGCGGGCCUACAAGUCUCUUCCUUCCUCUUGGUUCCUCUGAGGGAAAAAGGUCCAGCCAUUGCCUUGCUGCUCAUUAAAGGUCAGGCCAGCCAUCUCUGAGUGGACUCUCAUCUAAUAAAAGAAAGCCUGAACAUCUAAAGGCCAUCCAUCCACUACAUAUAGCAAAGAUAUCACAACUGAAUCCAGAAAAAUAAGUCUACUCAUCUAGAAAAGGCUGGUUAAAGUGAAUCCUAGGAAAAGGUGCAACAUGAAUGGUGCCUGUAUCCUGUGGGGACUGAUUUGGAUGAUUAUACUCUUCUUCAUUGGAUGGCCCAUAAGCAUGUUCUUAGGAGGACUCUAUGGAUUCUUCUCUCCUCUUACGACUUUGAUAGGUCUAGAUGACAUCAGUGAUUUUUUACUGAGGGGAGUAAACGUGGGAAGGGAGUGUGCUAAGAAUGUCCACAAUGGAAGGCCUUUGUGUUAAUAAUUAAGACCAGCUAACAAGCAAUCUUCUGUGUUCAGUAGUGGGCUUUACAGCUGUUUACAUGUAUUACAAAUGUUUCUGGCGUUUAUAACAUAUGAUUGACAUUGGUAUUUCUAUUGCCAUUUCAAUCAUUUCUCUGUAACCCUAUGUACUGAAACUGGAAAUCUCUUAAGUUCUAUUAUGAUCUUAAACCAUCAAAAUUCAAGACCUUGGAAACAAAUAUAUAUUUUCCAUGUCCAGUCUACAAAAACCUAACCCAAAUCUUUCCUAGAAAGAUAGCGUUCUGCUCCUUCCAAUGGGGAAAAUUGAUUUUCUGGUUUUUGUCUUUUUACAUACAGUAUAUUAAUUACAUACAGAGUUGAGUUGCUCAUUGAAAGCUUCAUUUCUGCAUUCAGUUACAAUGUUACCAAUUAAUCUGCAGUAAUAGCAUCAUAGUUUAUAGUUAAAUGUACUAUGAAUUUUCUUUAGAAGACAACAUUUUACAGGGAUUCUUUAUGGUACUUUAAUACAUCAUUUAUAUUAAUAAUAAAUACAUAAUAAAACUA